CUGCUGAACAAAUGUGUACACCCCGAACCACUCUGCAGUGCCCCCCGCCUCCGAACCAGAAUCAAUGGACUGGGUCCCACAUGUAAACAGGAGUCUGCAUACGCUGCGACAAGCCAGGGCACUUCAUGAACCAAUGUCUGAAUGCGAUCACCCUGAGUAAACCCCCCACGCGUGUAAAUGCUGUGUCGCCUGUGGAUAGGCAAGAACAGGGAAAAGAUGAGCUCUCACUCUAAAAUGUGGACAAGAGCUCAAGGAGCAGAAAGCUAGCUGGAGAUUUGAGCAGG
rnacentral:sRNA from 1 species